GCAGUCGACGAACUUCCGUUAAUUGAUUAUGACGUACUUGUACUGAUUGAGAAUUUAACACGAAGUGAGUGGCGAACGGGUGAGUAACACGUGGGUAACCUGCCCAGAAGUAGGGGAUAACACCUGGAAACAGAUGCUAAUACCGUAUAACAGAGAAAACCGCAUGGUUUUCUUUUAAAAGAUGGCUCUGCUAUCACUUCUGGAUGGACCCGCGGCGUAUUAGCUAGUUGGUGAGGUAAAGGCUCACCAAGGCAGUGAUACGUAGCCGACCUGAGAGGGUAAUCGGCCACAUUGGGACUGAGACACGGCCCAGACUCCUACGGGAGGCAGCAGUAGGGAAUCUUCCACAAUGGACGCAAGUCUGAUGGAGCAACGCCGCGUGAGUGAAGAAGGGUUUCGGCUCGUAAAGCUCUGUUGUUAAAGAAGAACGUGGGUAAGAGUAACUGUUUACCCAGUGACGGUAUUUAACCAGAAAGCCACGGCUAACUACGUGCCAGCAGCCGCGGUAAUACGUAGGUGGCAAGCGUUAUCCGGAUUUAUUGGGCGUAAAGCGAGCGCAGGCGGUCUUUUAAGUCUAAUGUGAAAGCCUUCGGCUCAACCGAAGAAGUGCAUUGGAAACUGGGAGACUUGAGUGCAGAAGAGGACAGUGGAACUCCAUGUGUAGCGGUGAAAUGCGUAGAUAUAUGGAAGAACACCAGUGGCGAAGGCGGCUGUCUG
rnacentral:rRNA from 1 species